rnacentral:tRNA from 1 species
GGAUAUAUAGCUCAGUUGGUAGAGUAUUUGCCUUGCAUGCACAAAGCCCUGGGUUCAAUCCCCAGCACCA